rnacentral:rRNA from 1 species
UUAAGCAGGAGAUGCGGAGCCGAAGCGAAAGCGAGUCUUAAUAGGGCGAGAGUACGAUGACAUAGACCCGAAACCGUGUGAUCUAGCCAUGACCAGGUUGAAGUUCAGGUGAAACUGAAUGGAGGACCGAACCGACCCCCGUUGAAAAGUUGGCGGAUGAGUUGUGGCUAGGGGAGAAAUUCCAAUCGAACACGGAUAUAGCUGGUUCUCCCCGAAAUAGCUUUAGGGCUAGCGUCGAGGCUUAGUCUUGUGGAGGUAGAGCACUGAAUGUACGAUGGCCCCAUCCCGGGGUACUGAGUAUAAUCAAACUCCGAAUGCCAUAAGAUAUGCCCGGCAGUCAGACCGUGGGUGAUAAGGUCCAUGGUCAAAAGGGAAACAGCCCAGACCGCCAGUUAAGGUCCCAAAAUGCAUGCUGAGUGGAAAAGGAUGUGGGGAUGCACAGACAACUAGGAGGUUGGCUCAGAAGCAGCCACCCUUCAAAGAGUGCGUAACAGCUCACUAGUCGAGUGACCCUGCGCCGAAAAUGUACCGGGGCUAAGCAUGCUACCGAAGCUGCGGAUUUGUAGAAAUACAAGUGGUAGGGGAGCGUUCUAUGCAGCGUAGAAGCCAUAUCGUGAGGAGUGGUGGAGCGCAUAGAAGUGAGAAUGCCGGUGUGAGUAGCGAGAUGUAGGUGAGAAUCCUACACACCGAUAGCCCAAGGAUUCCAGGGGAAGGUUCGUCCGCCCUGGGUAAGUCGGGACCUAACGCGAGGCCGAAAGGCGUAGUGGAUGGAAAACAGGCAGAUAUUCCUGUACCCGCGAUGGAAAUGAAGGAAUGACGGAGAAGGUAAGUAUGACCCACUGAACGGAUUGUGGGCGAAGCGUAUAGCAGGAUGGCAGUGAAAUGCGUCAUCAGGAUGUAAAGCGUGAUAGGUAAGGGAACGCCCAAGGGCAAGUACCGAAGCAUAUGUAGCCAGCUUCCAGGAAAAGUUUCUAGUAUAUUCCAUAGCGGCCCGUACCAAAACCGACACAGGUGGGCAAGGAGAGGAUCCUGAGGUGAGCGAGAGAACUGUUGCCAAGGAACUCGGCAAAAUGACUCCGUAAGUUAGCGAGAAGGAGUGCUUAUGAAAGUAAGCCGCAGUGAAGAGGCCCAAGCGACUGUUUAACUAAAACACAGCUCUCUGCAAAGUCGCAAGACGAAGUAUAGGGGGUGACGCCUGCCCGGUGCUGGAAGGUUAAGAGGAUUUGUCAGUAGCGAUACGAAGCAAUGAAUUGAAGCCCCAGUGAACGGCGGCCGUAACUAUAACGGUCCUAAGGUAGCGAAAUUCCUUGUCAGGUAAGUUCUGACCCGCACGAAAGGCGUAACGAUUUGGGCGCUGUCUCGGCAGCAGACUCGGUGAAAUCUUAGUACCUGUGAAAAUGCAGGUUACCCGCAACUAGACGGAAAGACCCCAUGGAGCUUUACUGCAGCCUGAUAUUGAGUUUCGAUCAGAGAUGUACAGGAUAGGUGGGAGACAAAGAGACAUGCACGCCAGUGUAUGAGGAGUCGCUGUUGGGAUACCACUCUUGUCUGAUUGGAAUUCUAACCUGCAUCCCUAAGCGGGAUGAGGGACCGUGUCAGGUGGGCAGUUUGACUGGGGCGGUCGCCUCCCAAAGAGUAACGGAGGCGCCCAAAGGUACGCUCAGAUUGGAUGGAAAUCAAUCGACGAGUGCAAAUGCAGAAGCGUGCUUGACUGCGAGACAAACAGGUCGAGCAGGGACGAAAGUCGGGAUUAGUGAUCCGGCGGUGCC